UGCAUUCACUACUGUAAGUCGCUCUGGAUAAGAGCUUCUGCCAAAUCACUAAAA
rfam:Salmo salar isolate Sally breed double haploid chromosome ssa17, whole genome shotgun sequence.